GGGGUCAUAGUAUAACCUGGCAGUACAUCAGGCUCCAGACCUGACAGCGGGGGUUCAAAUCCCUCUGGCCCCA
rnacentral:tRNA from 1 species